UAGAAUUCCACGUGUAGCGGUGAAAUGCGUAGAGAUGUGGAGGAAUACCGGUGGCGAAGGCGGCCUUCUGGACAGAUACUGACGCUGAGAUGCGAAAGCGUGGGGAGCAAACAGGAUUAGAUACCCUGGUAGUCCACGCUGUAAACGAUGUCGAUUUGGAGUUUGUUGCCUAGAGUGAUGGGCUCCGAAGCUAACGCGAUAAAUCGACCGCCUGGGGAGUACGGCCGCAAGGUUAAAACUCAAAUGAAUUGACGGGGGCCCGCACAAGCGGUGGAGCAUGUGGUUUAAUUCGAUGCAACGCGAAGAACCUUACCUGGUCUUGACAUCCACAGAAUCUUGCAGAGAUGCGGGAGUGCCUUCGGGAACUGUGAGACAGGUGCUGCAUGGCUGUCGUCAGCUCGUGUUGUGAAAAUGUUGGGUUAAGUCCCGCAACGAGCGCAACCCUUAUCCUUUGUUGCCAUCGGUUAGGCCGGGAACUCAAAGGAGACUGCCGUUGAUAAAGCGGAGGAAGGUGGGGACGACGUCAAGUCAUCAUGGCCCUUACGACCAGGGCUACACACGUGCUACAAUGGCGUAUACAAAGGGAGGCGACCUCGCGAGAGCAAGCGGACCUCAUAAAGUACGUCUAAGUCCGGAUUGGAGUCUGCAACUCGACUCCAUGAAGUCGGAAUCGCUAGUAAUCGUGGAUCAGAAUGU
rnacentral:rRNA from 1 species